GCAGUCGAGCGAGACCUUCGGGUCUAGCGGCGGACGGGUGAGUAACGCGUGGGAACGUGCCCUUCUCUACGGAAUAGUCCCGGGAAACUGGGUUUAAUACCGUAUACGCCCUUCGGGGGAAAGAUUUAUCGGAGAAGGAUCGGCCCGCGUUAGAUUAGGUAGUUGGUGGGGUAAUGGCCUACCAAGCCUACGAUCUAUAGCUGGUUUGAGAGGAUGAUCAGCCACACUGGGACUGAGACACGGCCCAGACUCCUACGGGAGGCAGCAGUGGGGAAUCUUAGACAAUGGGGGCAACCCUGAUCUAGCCAUGCCGCGUGAGUGAUGAAGGCCUUAGGGUCGUAAAGCUCUUUCGCUGGGGAAGAUAAUGACUGUACCCAGUAAAGAAACCCCGGCUAACUCCGUGCCAGCAGCCGCGGUAAUACGGAGGGGGUUAGCGUUGUUCGGAAUUACUGGGCGUAAAGCGCGCGUAGGCGGAUUGGAAAGUUGGGGGUGAAAUCCCGGGGCUCAACCUCGGAACUGCCUCCAAAACUCCCAGUCUUGAGUUCGAGAGAGGUGAGUGGAACUCCGAGUGUAGAGGUGAAAUUCGUAGAUAUUCGGAAAGAACACCAGUGGCGAAGGCGGCUCACUGGCUCGAUACUGACGCUGAAG
rnacentral:rRNA from 1 species